CAAACAAAGACUCCUGGAAGCCUGUGCGCGAUCAAUCUUACUCGCCAAAAGGUCUGACAGCUCGGUGCCCUCACAACACAUUUAAGGCUUCUUACUCUCCCCCGGAUCAAAUGCAGCCAGGAAGCGGCGAGAAACACUGGCCACUCAGAUUAGAACCAGUUUCUCCUUGCAGUUGUAGCCGGGCUGUCGCUGGAGGGAUGUUUUAAAAGAUAAAUAAGAAUACAACUACACAAGAUGCGACCAUUUCCUUUUGAGGAGGCUAUAAUGCGCCAAUGAAUCUUCAGAAGGGCCUGAUGACAUUUUUAUUAUAAUGGAUGUGCCCACGCAGAUGAGAGGACGGAAGAAGGCCACCCGAGUGUUUCCUUCACGUCGAAUCAAGAAGAAGAGAGAAAAAAAAAACAAGUCGCUUUGAUUUAAUUUGAAUGUAUCUGCGCACAUUUCCCUUUCUGUCAUUGAAAAUUAAACAUAGCCUCUGGUUUUAAAUUAUUUUACCAAUAAGUAUGUUUAGCAAAGACCAUUCAUGGUUUAUUAUUUAGCCUAACUAUUAAUAUUGUAUUGUCUCUUAUACUGCCAAUUAUCUAAAAUUUUUUUCUUCUUUCCAUUACCUCUACUACAAUUUUUUACCGUCAUGAAAUAUAUGAGAAUACCGAUAUGUAAGAAUUGCAAAACUAGAAAUACAUUUUCAAGAUUUUUAAUUUUAAAAAGAUGUGUUGUUUAAUUUUGUGAAAUACUUCUGAUGUGUCUUAAUUAAAACUGCAAUAUUUGCUUGAUUGAUAUUUCAGUUAUUUUAUUUAUUUCUUCAAACUGGAGCAGCGUGGAAUGUAUGA